rnacentral:rRNA from 1 species
ACGGCUCAGUAACACGUGGCUAACCUACCCUUAGGACGGAGACACCCCCGGGAAACUGGGGCUAAUACCCGAUAGGUGAGGAGGCCUAGAAUGGUUCUUCGCUGAAAAGGCGUUGAAACCAUGCUUUUCAACGUCGCCUAAGGAUGGGGCCGCGCCCGAUCAGGUUGUUGGUGAGGUAACGGCUCACCAAGCCUAUAACCGGUACGGGCCGUGAGAGCGGGAGCCCGGAGAUGGGCACUGAGACAAGGGCCCAGGCCCUACGGGGCGCAGCAGUCGCGAAAACUCCGCAAUGCGCGAAAGCGUGACGGGGCUACCCCGAGUGCCGUCCGCUGAGGAUGGCUUUUCCCCGGUGUAAUGAGCCGGGGGAAUAAGGAGAGGGCAAGACUGGUGUCAGCCGCCGCGGUAAUACCAGCUCUCCGAGUAGUAGGGACGAUUAUUGGGCUUAAAGCGUCCGUAGCCGGCUUAGCAAGUCUCCUGUUAAAUUCAGCGACCUAAUCGUUGAGCCGCGGGAGAUACUACUAGGCUAGGAGGCGGGAGAGGCCGACGGUAUUCCCGGGGUAGGGGUGAAAUCCUAUAAUCCCGGGAGGACCACCAGUGGCGAAGGCUGUCGGCUAGAACGCGCUCGACGGUGAGGGACGAAAGCUGGGGGAGCGAACCGGAUUAGAUACCCGGGUAGUCCCAGCUGUAAACGAUGCGGGCUAGGUGUUGAGGUGGCUACGAGCCACUUCAGUGCCGCAGGGAAGCCAUUAAGCCCGCCGCCUGGGGAGUACGGCCCGCAAGGCUGAAACUUAAAGGAUUGGCGGGGGAG